rnacentral:lncRNA from 1 species
AUGACUUCUUUCAGGUUAUUGACUCCUUCACUUAUCUUCUAUGCUGGCCAUUUCAGUGAGAUCACUUUCCUGUUUGUUUUAGGCAUGUAUUGCUCAGCACCAGGUCUUUCACAGCCUUCUGGAUUUUGCUAUUCAGGUUACCAUUGUGCCAAGGGAGCCAUCAGCCCAACCCCUUUCAAAAACAGGGUGGAAUUUGCUGGCCCUGUGUUGCCUGGUAAUGAUAUCUGUCCUGCAGGUCAUUUCUGCCCCAACGGAACCGAGAAUCCCAUGCCUUGCCCUCCUGGCUCCUUCUCUGCUGUCAGGGGCCUGCAGGCAGAAGAGCAGUGCCAGCCCUGCCCUGCUGGCCGAUAUUGCAGCAGGGCAGGAUUGUUUGAUCUGGCUCAGACGUCGCUGUGUAACGCAGGGUACGUUUGUUUGGAAGGAAGCUCUGCUCCCUGCCCUUCUGAUGGGGUUUAUGGAUACAGAUGUCCUAGUGGCUUCUAUUGUCCUGCUGGCACUGGACUAGAACUGCCCUGUGAGCCUGGCACCUUCAGCCCUAUGCCUGGGGCAAGUACAUGCCUCCCUUGUCCAGCUGGUAUGGCCUGCAGCCAUGCAGCCACUGCAGAGCCUCUCAGCUGCCCCAGAGGUUACUAUUGUCCAGCUAGGACUGCUGCUCCCCUGCCAUGCCCUGAAGGGACACUGAAUACCAUGGAGGGGGCAUUGGCCCCCACUGCUUGCAAGCUGUGUCCAGUGGGGAGGUACUGCAGAGGAGAUGCUAACUGGGAGCCUGAUGGCCUGUGUUCAGCUGGGUACUAUUGUGAAGGAGGAGCCACUGAUGCAGUUCCACGUGGGACACCAACGUUCCCUCUCAGUGGGCCCUGUCCUCUUGGACAUUAUUGUCCUGAGGGCACUCCUUUCCCAGUUGCCUGCCCAGUUGGGACCCUGAACAACAGCACAGGUGUGACUUCACCAACAGGUUUCUCUUGUAGUCCACAGCAGUGGGGGGCUUUGCCAAGGUGA